CCUACGGGAGGCAGCAGUGAGGAAUAUUGGUCAAUGGGCUUACGCCUGAACCAGCCAAGUCGCGUGAGGGAAGACUGCCCUAUGGGUUGUAAACCUCUUUUGUCAGGGAGCAACGCCGGCUACGUGUAGCCGGACUGAGAGUACCUGAAGAAGAAGCCCCGGCUAACUACGUGCCAGUAGCCGCGGUAAUACGUAGGGGGCAAGCGUUAUCCGGAUUUACUGGGUGUAAAGGGAGCGUAGACGGAAGUGCAAGUCUGGAGGGAAAGGCGGGGGCUCAACCCCCGGACUGCUCUGGAAACCGUACGGCUUGAGUGCAGGAGAGGUAAGUGGAAUUCCUAGGGUAGCGGUGAAAUGCGUAGAUAUUAGGAGGAACACCAGUGGCGAAGGCGGCUUACUGGACUGUAACUGACGUUGAGGCUCGAAAGCGUGGGGAGCAAACAGGAUUAGAUACCCUGGUAGUC
rnacentral:rRNA from 1 species